rnacentral:lncRNA from 1 species
UCUUCAUCUGGGGAAUGUUAAUAAAAUUUGCCUUAUAAGAUUAUUUUGAGGCUCAAAUAAAAUAUUUUCAUGAAUUCCUUAGCAUCAUUUUAGUCACCCUUAGAUAUGCAGAAGGUGGACUUCAUUGAUGGCCUCUCAGUAGUCAUGUGCUUUCCAAUGGGACUUCACAACUCUUUCCAUCAUGAGGUGUACUCUCUGACUCCACCCUUGAAUCUGGGUAUGUCUUCCAACAGAAUGUGGCAAAGGUGAUGCUAUGUUCCUUCUCAAACCAGGCCUCAAGAGGCCCUGUCCCUUUCCACUCUCCACCUUGAGACUCCUGCCUUUGCCAUAGAGCAAGCUCAGGAGAGCAGCUGGAGGAUGAGAAACCUUGUGGAGUAGAGAUGAGUCUUCUCUGUGGAGAUGGGUCUUCUCCCCAGACCAACCAGCCUGCCAAUUGGCUACAGAUACAUAAGUGAGUUCAGCCAAGAUCCAAAAAAUACUCAGGAAACCCAUGCAUGAGCAAUAAUAAAUUCUAAUUGUUCUAACCCAGUAGGUUUUGGGAGGUUGAUUAUGCAGUAAUAACUGACAUCAGCUCUAGGACCUAACAGGAACAAGGAACUUAAACCAAUUGAUUUACUCCUGUAAUUCCACUGCUUAGAAUAGUGUGUUACAUAAGCAGGUGUUCAACAUAUGUGUAUGUUAAAUAAAUUCCUGAGUAUAAUUAUGAUGAUUAUCAUCUCAAGGAAUCAUGGUGGGAAGUGAAUGAGAUAAUCUGAAGAAAGCAUGUAACGUUUCUGGCACACUGACUUUUCAAUAAAUGUUGACUAUUA